rnacentral:tRNA from 1 species
AAGUUUAGGUUAAACAAACCCGAGACCUUCAAAGCCUCAAACAGACAACAGCUGUCUAACUUCUG